rnacentral:rRNA from 1 species
UCCCCUAGUAACUGCGAGUGAAGAGGGAAGAGCUCAAAUUUAAAAUCUGGCAGCUUCGCUGUCCGAGUUGUAAUUUAGAGAAGUGAUGCCCGUGCUGGACCGUGUACAAGUCUCCUGGAAUGGAGCGUCAUAGAGGGUGAGAAUCCCGUCUUUGACACGGACUCCCAGUGCAUUGUGGUACGCUCUCAAAGAGUCGUGUUGUUUGGGAAUGCAGCACUAAAUGGGUGGUAAAUUCCAUCUAAAGCUAAAUAUUGGCGAGAGACCGAUAGCAAACAAGUACCGUGAGGGAAAGAUGAAAAGAACUUUGGAAAGAGAGUUAAACAGUACGUGAAAUUGUUGAAAGGGAAACGCUUAAAGUCCAGUCGCGUCUUCUGGGAAUCAGUCUUGCUUCUGCAUGAUGUACUUUCUAGUCGACGGGUCAGCAUCAGUUUUGACCGGUGGACAAGAGUUGGAGGAAUGUGGCACCCUCGGGUGUGUUAUAGCCUCUGAUUGUAUACGCCGGUUGGGACUGAGGAACUCAGCACGCCGCAAGGCCGGGUCUUUUGACCACGUUCGUGCUUAGGAUGCUGGCAUAAUGGCUUUAAUCGACCCGUCUUGAAACACGGACCAAGGAGUCUAACAUGCCUGCGAGUAUUUGGGUGGAAAACCCGAGUGCGYAAUGAAAGUGAAAGUUGAGAACUCUCUAGAGUGCAUCGACGCCCGGACCAGAYGUUUUCUGACGGAUCCGCGGUAGAGCAUGUAUGUUGGGACCCGAAAGAUGGUGAACUAUGCCUGAAUAGGGUGAAGCCAGAGGAAACUCUGGUGGAGGCUCGUAGCGAUNCUGACGUGCAAAUCGAUCGUCGAAUUUGGGUAUAGGGGCGAAAGA